GGGGACGAAACGGUUUCGACGAGGACGUAGACGAACGAGCUGCGCGUCGUGGCGCCCGAGGCCACGUAAAAACGGGCAACCCUGCAACUGCGAACGACAACAACGCCGUUGCUCUCGCUGCCUGAAUAAAACCAGGUAACGACGGUGACCUGAGCUUCCGCCUGUAGCCCAGGAUCACCGCCACAAUCAGGCUGGCCUGCCGCGAGAGACGAUCGCGCGGCAGGCGAGAAUCAGGAUCGACUCGCGCUGGUGAUGGCUGCCACCCACCUCUCACCAGGGCCAGACAAGACGAGCGGUGGCUACACGCGUAGUAGCUCGUCCCGAAGCGUUUUCGGACCCGGGUUCGACUCCCGGCGUCUCCACCG
rnacentral:tmRNA from 1 species